UUAUCCGUCGGUUAGCUAACCUACGAUCAGCGCAUUUUAACCCGGGAUUAGGCGCUAAUCUUGGGUUAAGCUAAUCGGCCUUUCGGGAACCGGCCCCUGGGCUAUUGCCCCCUCACUUCUCGUUUUGAACGAUUUGAUAGAUGAGGACUUAACAAGAUAAAGCACAACCAGCCUCCUUCUGUGAGCGAUAACGCUUACGCAUCUAUAAAAAGAAUACAUUAUUUCGACAUACAUCGUGAGGGAUCCAUGCGCACUAAAGUCAAGGUUGGGUGUAAAUAGCGGGAGAUGGUCGAUUGAGUCUGACGGGCUUGGAUCUAGUCGUAUCUACCGAACGUCGCACAUCUGGCCUCUGCAGACUCCCCGAUGAGUGAUCAGACCGAGACCGCGUGAUCACACUUUCGAUGUGUACACCCCGUCGCAACAAGACAACACAGAAAAUGCGGUCUCUCAUCAACCUCCCAUUCCGUACCCCAAAUAAAAAAUCCUAUAUUUCAGUUUUACAAUAAACGCGCAUACAAAGUCACGAAAUCGUACCAAUACGAUUUCCACAUAGAAAAUUAAAUCAGUAAAAUGAUUCUGAGACACCGGAUUUCGUUAGGAGACUUUCGAUUUGAAAGACUGAAUCCGCCGCGUUUGCUGAUAAUAUACUUUGUGUGUUUAUUAAGACAUUCUGUCUAUGUUUCCUAUUUGUUCAAUUAUCACUAGAAUCUGUUUUUCUUGUUUCUGUUGUUAUUCUAGAAGCUGCGUUAAAAAAUCACCAAUGGAAAAGGAAAUCGACACAAUUUCCGCACGAGUUUUAUUAUGGCCCUUAAAAUCUUAACCAUUGUUAGGUGAUUUUGUGACUGCUUUCAGUUCUUUAGCAUGCCAUUGUGUCACAAUUAAGUUUUCCCUUCAAAUAACCCGCAGUUUUUAUCAGCUUUAAAAUAGAAAAUUUGACCCUGCAAUGACGCAGAAGUUAUAAACCAUUCAGUUAAGUAACAAAACAAACAAAUGUAUAAUCCCAACAAUUGAAAUUCCCCCAAAAAUUGAAAUUCAGUUGGGUUUAUUCUUAACACGGCAGCACAGUAAUUGUGAUAACGAAUCAAGCGUUAUCUGAGCAAACUAUUUGAAUGUAAUCAAUAGAGAAUGCUAAAACAGUGACGAUAAUCGAACCCUUUGGGUGAUGUAUUAGCGGCCCGGAGCCAAUUGUGUGUAUGUGCUACCACGAAUGAGUCAAAUAAGGCGGUGUUCUGAUGAAAAAAUCUAUCAAUAAUGAAACACACAGAGCCACCUAGGCGACCAAUCUAACAUACCUCUCAAAAAACAAACACAUUUCUAAAACGGAAAAAAUACGCCGCAAAAUAUUCCGAUUGCAAUAACGGAAUUCCUCGUCAAUUAAAAUAAGGCAUACAAAAUUAUUAGGCCUAAUGAAGUUUUUAAUCUGACGCGGUAUAAACUCAGCAUACCUAAACGCUAACAUUGGCUAAAACAAACGAAACGGCUUGUUUACGAGAGCGGUGAUAAAUCAACAAAAACCACAAACUAAUUUCAACAUGAAAGUGGAGCCGAAAUUGAUUUUCUGUUACUCAUGGAAAACUCUAGACGCAAAUACCAUAAAUCACUUUUUUUCCAAGCUUUAUGACUUGUACAAGGACAUUUCUAAAAUGAAAAAUGUAAUUAUUCCCUCAUAAAUCUAAAUAUAACAGGCGUGAGUACGGAGAUCUGAAUCAAACUUGGGCCCACUAAGCCAUAGUAUUAUUCUGAAAAAAAAAAUAGACAGAAAAAAAUGUUUUUGUUUUAAAAAUAAUUGCAAAUGAAACUCGUUAAGAAAAUAAAAAAAUCACAUAAUGACAUAAUUCAUUAAAAAUGAAUGUAUAGUUAUUAUUUUGCUCGAAUAAAAUACUUCUGGAAAUGUAUGAAGCCACGUUAAUGAAAAAAUGAGCAAUUAAACAAGACUAUAUUGCG